GAAACUGGUGCUAAUACCGGAUACCCUUCUUUUCUGCCGGGUUAAGGAGGAAAGGUGGCCUCUUCAUGAAAGCUACCGUAUAAGGAUGAGCCUGCGUACCAUUAGCUAGUAGGUGGGGUAAUGGCCCACCUAGGCAACGAUGGUUAGCGGGUCUGAGAGGAUGAUCCGCCACACUGGAACUGGAACACGGACCAGACUCCUACGGGAGGCAGCAGUGAGGAAUAUUGCGCAAUGGGGGAAACCCUGACGCAGCGACGCCGCGUGAGUGAGGAAGGUUUUCGGAUCGUAAAGCUCUGUCAGAAGGGAAGAAGUGUUAUGUGGUUAAUACCCAUGUAAUUUGACGGUACCUUCAGAGGAAGCACCGGCUAACUCCGUGCCAGCAGCCGCGGUAAUACGGAGGGUGCAAGCGUUGUUCGGAAUUACUGGGCGUAAAGGGCGCGUAGGCGGCCUGAUAAGUCAGAUGUGAAAGUCCACGGCUCAACCGUGGAAGUGCAUUUGAAACUGUCAGGCUUGAGUAUCGGANGGGAGUGUGGAAUUCCCGGUGUAAAGGUGAAAU
rnacentral:rRNA from 1 species